UAGGUUAUUAUACUUUUGUUAGUGGUAAACUAGUCAAUUGGAGAAGGAAGAAACAAAAUAUAACUGCCAGAUCCAGUGCAAAUGUUGAAUAUAGAGCAAUGGCUCAAGGUGUAUGUGAAUAGUUGUGAUUACGGAAAUUAAAGAAAGAAAUGAAACUAUCAGAAACAAAUGGCUUAUACUUGUUUGCUGAUAACAAAGCUACUAUUAGUGUUGUUCAUAAUCCAGUACAGCCUGAUCGGAUCAAGCAUAUAAAGAUUGACAGACACUUCAUAAAGGAGAAAAUUGUUGAGCGUCUCUCAUAUGGCUUCUAAAGAUCAGUUGGCCAAUCUUUUCACUAAGGGAUUAAGCAACAAAAUGUUUCAUUCUCCAGUUUACAAGUUGGGCAUGUGUAA
rnacentral:misc_RNA from 1 species